CCUUCCUCAAAAAGAUUCGUCCUCGAAUCUAAAAAAUCAAAUGAACUCGACUUUCCUCGAUCGAAUGGGACUAAUGGCAAUUGAGUCCACUGAAAAGAAUAGCCAUGAAAUAGUAAAUAGCAACGCAAACAAGCUUGUAGUCCAAUUAUAAGCAUAAUAGAACAGGUAUAACGCAUGUGAAUGGAUAGAUUCAGAUUACAUGCCUUAAUCGACGGUCUAUAGAUUCACUCACACAUGCAUUAUCAAAAACAAGAAUUUUUUUAUCAACCAUCAAAAUAGAUUUAUCAUCAAUAAAUAAAAUAGGACAGUCAAGCACGUUUCGAUCUAAGUGUUCAUCAACACGAUCUUUGUCGCUAUCCAAGGAGUACAAAAGUGUUUCAAAGGUUUCAAGCAUCUUACCUUGAUAAGCAAAAGAAUAAGGGUCGAUUUUACCUUUUUCAUUUAAAACAAACCUUCGUUCAUCGGGGGCAUAGUGUAGUCGAAUCUCUGUUGUUGAGUUAACCUUUGUCAAAUGGAACUCAAACUUCAUGUACAACCACA
rnacentral:lncRNA from 1 species